GCCGAAGCAGAAGCGGCAGAGCCUGUGCCGCCACCUCCACCAGAGGAGGUGUUCAUCUGGGGAAUUCCUCUCCUCGGCGACGAAAGGAGCGAUGUGAUCCUGUUGAAAUUCCUCCGAGCCAGAGACUUCAAGGUGAAAGAUGCUUUCACUAUGAUCAAGAACACCGUUCGUUGGCGAAAACAAUUCGGCAUCGAGGCUCUUCUGGACGAGGACUUGGGCAACCAGUGGGACAAAGUGGUGUUCUCCCAUGGCGUCGACAGGGAAGGCCACCCUGUCUGCUACAACGUGUUCGGUGAGUUCGAGAACAAGGACUUGUAUCAAGCCACCUUCUCUGACGACGAAAAGAGCCUCAAAUUCUUGCGAUGGAGGAUUCAGUUUUUGGAGAAGAGCAUCAUAAAACUCGACUUCAGCCCCAGUGGCAUCUCCACCAUUGUUCAAGUCAACGACCUCAAAAACUCGCCUGGACUCACAAAGUGGGAGCUCAGAAACGCCACCAGGCGAGCUCUGCAACUAUUACAAGACAAUUAUCCUGAAUUCGC
rnacentral:lncRNA from 1 species